rnacentral:ncRNA from 1 species
UCUCGUGAAGAGGUGAGAAUAUAUAUAGAAAACGAGAAGAACCUAUGGAGCUUAAAUUAAUUAAUUCAGCUAUAAUUCCACUAGCCUACAAGGCAUAACCAGGCAUGGCAACAAAUUAAAAAUCUUGGUUGGGGUGACCUCAGAGAAUAAACUAACCACCGAAUGAUAUUAUAAUCUAGACGUAACCAGUCAAAAUUUAUAAAUCCCUUAAUGACCCAAUACUUGAUCAAUGGAAUAAGUUACCCUAGGGAUAACAGUGCAAUCCUAUUUUAGAGUCCCUGUCAGUAGUAGGGUUUACGGCCUCGAUGUUGGAUCAGGACCUCCUGCUAUUAAAGGCUCGUUUGUUGAAGGACUAAAGUCCUACGUGAUCUGAGUCCAGAUGGAGUAAUACAGGUCAGUUCCUACCUAUAGA